rnacentral:tRNA from 5 species
GCCGAGGUCGCAUAGCCCGGAAUUGCGCGGGCCUGGAAAGCCCGUGGGAAAUUUCCCUCGCGAGUUCAAAUCUCGCCCUCGGCGCCA